UUGGAGGGCAAGUCUGGUGCCAGCAGCCGCGGUAAUUCCAGCUCCAAUAGCGUAUAUUAAAGUUGUUGCAGUUAAAAAGCUCGUAGUUGAAUUUCGGGAUUAGUACGUCGGUCGUGCCUUAGGUACGUACUGGUGUUACUGGUUCCUACCUUCUGACGAACCAUCAUGUCAUUAAUUUGGUGUGGUGGGGAAUCAGGACAGUUACUUUGAAAAAAUUAGAGUGUUUAAAGCAGGCUCGCGCUUGAAUACAUUAGCAUGGAAUAAUGAAAUAGGUACG
rnacentral:rRNA from 1 species